rnacentral:rRNA from 1 species
GAGGCAUAUUGGACAAUGGGCGCAAGCCUGACCCAGCCAUGCCGCGUGGGUGAAGAAGCCCAUCGGGUUGUAAAGCCCUUUUGUUGGGAAAGAAAAGCAGCCGGCCAAUACACGGAUGUUCUGACGGUACGCAAAGAAUAAGCACCGGCUAACUUCGUGCCAGCAGCCGCGGUAAUACGAAGGGUGCAAGCGUUACUCGGAAUUACUGGGCGUAAAGCGUGCGUAGGUGGUGGUUUAAGUCCGUUGUGAAAGCCCUGGGCUCAACCUGGGAACUGCAGUGGAUACUGGAUCACUAGAGUGUGGGAGAGGGUAGUGGAAUUCCCGGUGUAGCAGUGAAAUGCGUAGAGAUCGGGAGGAGCAUCAGUGGCGAAGGCGACUGCCUGGGCCAACACUGACACUGAGGCACGAAAGCGUGGGGAGCAAACA